UCUCGGGGUAAUUACUUUCUCUAGACGAUUUAGCAUCAUCAUCCUCUCUCUUUCUCUAGACGAUUUCCCCAACUUUUCUCUUCAUUUCCCGCCAUUAAUUCUUCAGGGUAAUGAAAGAUAAAACGCAGCAGAAGGUAGUAGUCUUGUAGAUAUGGAAGAUGCUUGCUGAGAAGACGAUGAAUAUCGAAUUGCGUUGUUUAGAGAACAAAGCAAGAAACUCCGGAUUCCAGUUCCUCCUGUUUCUGAUGAGGAGGAAGAAGAUCUUAAUUGUAGCGGCCUUUCAGUCAGGAGAAUUGGUGGUCAAGGCGAGCAAAGGGUGGUUGGACUUCUGAAGAGGAUGAGAAGUUGCGGAAAGCUGGUGAAUCUUUUAAGGACAAAAUUUGGAAGCAAAUAGGAAGAUGAUAAAAUCUUGGAGUUGGUCUAUGGACCCUCAAAAUGGUCUGUUAUAACAAAAGAGAUGCCAGGUCGCAUAGGAAAGCAAUGCUGAGAAAGGUAACCAUAAUAAUAUAGCAACUGUAUCCAGUAAUUUUGAUGGUCUUGAAUGCGGACAACUGGCAUCAGAACAUAAGUUCAGUGUAACAAAUUAAACUCGCAACCAAACUUGGUCAGACAUAGAAGCAAAGCAGCAAAGCAGAAGCUGAUGAUCCAGAGAAAAGCAUUGCUGGAACACCACUACCAAUUGCCGUUCCAGUCAUUAGUUCUUUUCAGAAUGAAAUAUUGGACUUAUUUCACCUACCUUUUACUGCUAAUUGCUUUUCAGUCACUACCUUCAUAUCAGAAAAAGAGAGAAGCUAGUGGUACUCUGAAUUGGAAUGAGCAAACAUAUGUGGUAAAAGAUGAAAAGACAGGAGUUUGCAUUCACAAGAAAGAAUGAAAGAUGGAACGAAAAAAACUGAUAAUAGUGAAGAAGUGCCUGGUUCAGAGGAUGUGAUUUGAAAGAGUGACAAUUCUGCUUGCCGUGGUAAUGGCACUGUUAGCGGUUUUACACCAGGAGGCUCGUCCAUACAGAUGGGUGGUUUUAUUCUUGGAAGGCUUAUUUUUAUUGAUCAAGGCUGAUGUGGUCGAAGAAACUGGAUACAGAUGAGCUUACAAAUGAGGUACGAAAUGGAGAGAGGUUAAAACCCAAAUGAAGGAAAAAGAACUGAAGAAUGACAAUUCUGCUUGUCAUGGUAAUAGCGGCAUUAGACUGUUUUAUUUGAUGCCAAUAGCAUUCAUAGUAGCCAAUCCAAAUCAAUGGAUUCAGCCUCAUGUCAGCACGGGUUGUUCACGAGGAGUGAAGAUGGCUUGACCUAAUUAGAUAUACUGUGAGUACUUUCUGGAAAUAUUGUAUAGCUCUGGUAGUAUAAGGCCCUCUAGGGUAUUAAAAUCUACUGUAUUGUACUAUUUGAUUUAAUUUUCCAAUCUAAAGUUAAUCAUUUUUGUUUCCUCU